UGGGGCGUGGCCAAGUGGUUAAGGCACCGGGUUUUGAUCCCGACAUUCGUAGGUUCGACCCCUACCGCCCCAG
rnacentral:tRNA from 1 species